CAUCGCCGCGGGAAAACAGAGGGUGCGAGCGUUAAUCGGAUUUACUGGGCGUAAAGCGUGCGUAGGCGGCUAAUUGAGUCGGAUGUGAAAUCCCCGAGCUUAACUUGGGAAUUGCAUUCGAUACUGGUUAGCUAGAGUGUGGGAGAGGAUGGUAGAAUUCCAGGUGUAGCGGUGAAAUGCGUAGAGAUCUGGAGGAAUACCGAUGGCGAAGGCAGCCAUCUGGCCUAACACUGACGCUGAGGUACGAAAGCAUGGGGAGCAAACAGGAUUAGAUACCCCGGUAGUCCCUGUCUCUUAUACA
rnacentral:rRNA from 1 species